rnacentral:lncRNA from 1 species
CUCUUGGGAAAACGAUACUUGGACUUACCAUUUUAUUAUUACUUGAACGAUUUGGUACGCUUGCCAAUUUGUCAACAAGAUUUUGGCGCCGUUGUCGGGGACUCAUGGUAGAACUAUUCUAUGUGUGUGAUUCUUGAUCGAUUAGACUUUCUUUUUAUUUUAUUUGUCUUAUUUGAUUUGAUUUGAUUUUAUCUUAUUUUGUUUCAUUUAAUUUGAUUUUAUAUUAUUUUGUUUCAUUUAAUUUGAUUUGAUUUGAUUUGAUUUGAUUUUAUUUUAUUUUAUUUGAUUUGAUU